rnacentral:rRNA from 1 species
UGCAAGUCGAGCGGUAAGGCCUUUCGGGGUACACGAGCGGCGAACGGGUGAGUAACACGUGGGUGAUCUGCCCUGCACUUCGGGAUAAGCCUGGGAAACUGGGUCUAAUACCGGAUAUGACCUCCUAUCGCAUGGUGGGUGGUGGAAAGAUUUAUCGGUGCAGGAUGGGCCCGCGGCCUAUCAGCUUGUUGGUGGGGUAAUGGCCUACCAAGGCGACGACGGGUAGCCGACCUGAGAGGGUGACCGGCCACACUGGGACUGAGACACGGCCCAGACUCCUACGGGAGGCAGCAGUGGGGAAUAUUGCACAAUGGGCGAAAGCCUGAUGCAGCGACGCCGCGUGAGGGAUGACGGCCUUCGGGUUGUAAACCUCUUUCAGCAGGGACGAAGCGCAAGUGACGGUACCUGCAGAAGAAGCACCGGCUAACUACGUGCCAGCAGCCGCGGUAAUACGUAGGGUGCAAGCGUUGUCCGGAAUUACUGGGCGUAAAGAGUUCGUAGGCGGUUUGUCGCGUCGUUUGUGAAAACCAGCAGCUCAACUGCUGGCUUGCAGGCGAUACGGGCAGACUUGAGUACUGCAGGGGAGACUGGAAUUCCUGGUGUAGCGGUGAAAUGCGCAGAUAUCAGGAGGAACACCGGUGGCGAAGGCGGGUCUCUGGGCAGUAACUGACGCUGAGGAACGAAAGCGUGGGUAGCGAACAGGAUUAGAUACCCUGGUAGUCCACGCCGUAAACGGUGGGCGCUAGGUGUGGGUUCCUUCCACGGAAUCCGUGCCGUAGCUAACGCAUUAAGC